rnacentral:rRNA from 1 species
GACGAACGCUGGCGGCGUGCUUAACACAUGCAAGUCGAACGGAAAGGCCCUGCUUUUGUGGGGUGCUCGAGUGGCGAACGGGUGAGUAACACGUGUGUAACCUGCCCUUGACUUUGGGGUAACUUCAGGAAACUGGGGCUAAUACCGUAUAGCAGCUCCUGCUGCAUGGUGGGGGUUGGAAAGUUUCGGCGGUUGGGGAUGGACUGGCGGCUUAUCAGCUUGUUGGUGGGGUAGUGGUUUACCAAGGCUUUGACGGGUAGCCGGCCUGAGAGGGUGACCGGCGACAUGGGGACUGAGAUACGGCCCAGUCGCUUACGGGAGGCAGCAGUGGGGAGCAUUGCACAGUGGUCGGAAGCCUGAUGCAGCAACGCCGCGUGUGGGAUGCCGGCCUUCGGGUUGAAAACCGCUUUCGCCUGUGACGAAGCGUGAGUGACGGUAAUGGGUAAAGAAGCACCGGCUAACUACGUG